rnacentral:rRNA from 1 species
UACGGUGGGGGCAAGCGUUGUUCGGAAUUACUGGGCGUAAAGGGCGCGUAGGCGGUUCGUUAAGUCGGAUGUGAAAACUCUGGGCUCAACCCAGAGCCUGCAUCCGAAACUGGCGGGCUAGAGUUCUGGAGGGGGUAGCGGAAUUCCUGGUGUAGCGGUGAAAUGCGUAGAUAUCAGGAGGAACACCGGUGGCGAAGGCGGCUACCUGGACAGAAACUGACGCUGAGGCGCGAAAGCUAGGGGAGCAAACAGG